AGAAUCAACGCUGGCGGCGUGCCUAACACAUGCAAGUCGAACGCGAAAGCCCCGCAAGGGGUCAGUAGAGUGGCAAACGGGUGAGUAACACGUGGGUGAUCUGCCUCAGAGUGGGGGAUAACGACCCGAAAGGGUCGCUAAUACCGCAUAACAUCCUGCGCUUGGAUGCGUGGAGAUCAAAGUUGGGGAUUCGCAAGAACCUGACGCUUGGAGAGGAGCCCGCGGCCGAUUAGCUAGUUGGUGAGGUAACGGCUCACCAAGGCAACGAUCGGU
rnacentral:rRNA from 1 species